CAAUGGCAAACAAUAGUAAACUAAACAAAGACGGAAGGAGAGACAAGACUUUGAGAAGUUAAGUCCAGUUUGGUCGAUUCAGUGACGCCAUAGGCAAAUUGAGGAGAAGAAGAAGAACUGGAUUCAGAGUAAUGGCGUACAGCGUGGUAAACUCCGUGAUCCAGACUUUGGCGCCAUUGAUAGUCAACGAAGCGAAGCUUUUGAGCAAUGUCCGCCGAGAUGUUGCGAGCAUCAAAGCUGAAUUGGAGAGCAUAAAGACUUUCCUAAAAGACGCCGAUCUUAGGGCAGAAACCGGAGAUGAAAUCGCCAUGAUUUGGGUGAAGCAAGUCCGGGAAGUGGCGUACCAAAUCGAGGAUGUGAUCGAUGAAUACUUGCUUGAUCGAGGAAGAAGGCGUGGUUUCGGCAGUUUAUUCCAGAGAGUGAAAAUAGCCUCUCAAAUUCAAGACAUCAAACGGACGAUUGGUGAGAUCAAGGAGAGGGCUGACAGGUAUGGAUCAAGUGUGGUACAAGGAUCAGGGAGCGAAAGAAUUGAACGGCCGUGGCAUGAUCCUCGAGUGGCUUCCCUCUUCGUCGAGGAAGAGGAACUCGUGGGAAUUGAAUCCCGCAGAGAUGAACUGACCGUGCAAUUGAUAUCCGAAGAGUCGAAACGAGUGGUGAUUUCGGUAGUGGGGAUGCCUGGAGUCGGCAAGACCACUCUUGCUAACAAGGUCUAUGGAUACCAAACCGUGGCCGGACGCUUUGAUUGCUGCGCUUGGGUCCCUGUCUCUAGAUCAUACAAGUCGGAGGAGAUACUCAGAACAAUGCUGAAAAAGUUUUACCAAUCCGGAUUAAGGGAGUCUACUACACCUCCAGAAAUUGAUGCAAUGGGCCAGAAUUCACUCGUUCACAAGCUUAGGGAAUUUCUAACUCAGAACAGGUAUCUAAUUGUCUUUGAUGAUGUAUGGACAACAAGCUUUUGGGAAUUCAUCAAACAUGCUUUGCCCAGAAAUGGGAAGGGCAGCAGGGUAAUCAUCACCACCCGCAGUGAGGAGCUUGCAGUUUUCUGCAAAGAAUCGCCAUGGGAUCAUAUCCAUUGGCUUCAGCCCCUGCCCGAAGAGAGGGCUUGGGACCUCUUCUGCAUGAAGGCCUUCCAAAGGGACUUCGGAGGCCGCUGUCCCCCUGAAUUGAAGGACGUAUCUCUCCGAAUCGUUCAAAAAUGUGAAGGAUUGCCACUUGCUAUUGUGGCAAUAAGUGGUAUUCUGUCCAUCAAAAACAAGGUUGCAUCAGAAUGGAACAGGUUCUACGAUAGCCUAGGCUGUGAGUUACAAAUGAAACCUGCCCUUACAAGCAUCUCAAAAAUUGUGUUGCUUAGUUACCAUGAUUUGCCCUACUACCUCAGAUCCUGUUUCUUGUACUUUGGCAUAAUACCUGAGGAUUACUCUAUUAAUUGUGGAAGAUUGAUCCGGUUGUGGAUGGCAGAGGGCUUCAUUGAAGAACAGAGGGGCAAAACUUUAGAAGAAGUUGCAGAAGAAUAUUUGACCGAGCUCAUCCAUAGAAGCUUGGUUCAAGUGUCAAGUAAGAAACCUGAUGGGAGAGUUAGAAAUUGUAGGGUGCAUGAUGUGGUGCGCGAGAUCAUCCUGUCAAAGUCUACGGAGUUGAACUUUUGUCACGUUUUAGGAUCAGAGAAUUCGAGUUUCGAUGAUGAUAUUGCUCGAAGAUUGUCAAUAUAUAUGGAUUGCAAUUUGGAUAACGUUCUCAAAAGGGCUAAGAUAUCCUGGAUUCGUUCAAUUUUUCUUUUUCGAGUGGCUAAGUUGCCAGAGAAACCUUUGAUGAGUACACUGGCAAGAAAUUUCAAGCUUCUGAAAACGCUAGAUCUUUGUGAUGCUCCUUUGGUUCAGAUUCAUAAAGAAGUGGGAAAUCUAUUUCAUUUGAGGUACUUGAGUGUAAGGCAUACAAAGGUGACGGUGAUUCCCAAGUCAAUUGGGAAGCUGCACAACCUACAGACUCUGGAUUUGAAAUAUUCUCUUGUGCGUGAGCUACCUUCUCAGAUCAACAAGCUCCAUAAGUUGAGGCAUCUUUUGGCACUUAACUAUGACUGGCGGAAUUUAAGUUUAGAUUCCAUAAAAGGGGUAAAGAUGCGAGGAGGGAUUAGUUGUUUAGAGGAGUUGCAGAAGCUAUGGUUUGUGGAGGCAAAUCAUGAUACAGUCAGCCUAUUUAAAGAGCUUAAGAAUUUGCAGAAGCUAAGGAAGUUGGGCAUCAGCAAAUUGAGAACAGAAAAUUGCAGGGAUCUUUUUAAUAGUAUUCAGAAUAUGAAACACCUUAAAGUAUUGGUGGUAUGUGCUAUAAGUGAACAUGAGAUUCUGGAUUUGGAUUCCGUUUCUGCUCCACCUGAAUCUCUUGAGCGACUCUACUUGUGUGGAUGUUUGAAAAAGCUGCCAUGCUGGAUUGCUCAACUUCAAAAUCUACAAGAUCUGCGAUUGGGUUGGUCAGGUUUGGUUGAUGAUCCACUAGAGGGGCUUCAAGCUUUGCCUAACCUACUAACGCUCAGUCUCCAAGAUGUGUUUUAUGCAGAGCAACUGUCUUUUAAGGCUGGAUGGUUUCCAAAACUCAAGGUGCUAAAUCUUAUUUCUCAAAGGGGAUUGCGUUCAGUGAUAAUAGAGGAAGGGGCAUUGACUCUUCUUGAAGAGCUAACAAUUGGGCCAUGCCAGCAGCAGAAAGUGGUUACUUCAGGGAUCCGUCACCUUAAGAAAUUCAAACUCCUUACUGUUGCCAUACAACGACGAAGUUCCUAAACAGAAUGCUACCAGACAAAGGCCAAGACCAUUGGAUUGUGGAGUAUAUACCAACUGUCAGGUUUGGUUUCUGGCUCCAAGGAUUGAGAUACAAAGUUUGUGCUCCUAGGGAAUUCCAAAAUUAUGCAAGUGACCUAAAAUUUAAGGAUUAAUGAAGCUCAAAUUGGAUCUCUUGACUGACAACCAUCUCUUCUUCUGUUUGCAGCUGAGGCCUGAAGGAAAAACUCUCAGAUUAUUCAUGCUAUGUUACAGAAUGGACUCACUAACUAGCUAGGAGAUUAUUCACUUCAAAAGAGGCAUGAAUGAACCAUCCUGCUUAUGCAAGCCGUACAUGAGGUAGAUGAAAUCUAAACACCCCCCUCAACAAAAAGAGAUUAAUUGUCAGCACACUGCAAGCCUAUUGACAAUGGUUGAGCCCCCAAAUGAUCAAAUGCACUCGUGUAAGAUGGCAAAACCACCUGCUUACAUGUGCUCCUACCUAAGGUGAGUGGAAUCAUGAGACUCCAAAUUGCUGGAGAAUCAAUUUCCCUC